rnacentral:rRNA from 1 species
GCAGCCGCCGCGGUAAUACAGAGGGUGCGAGCGUUAAUCGGAUUUACUGGGCGUAAAGCGUGCGUAGGCGGCUUUUUAAGUCGGAUGUGAAAUCCCUGAGCUUAACUUAGGAAUUGCAUUCGAUACUGGGAAGCUAGAGUAUGGGAGAGGAUGGUAGAAUUCCAGGUGUAGCGGUGAAAUGCGUAGAGAUCUGGAGGAAUACCGAUGGCGAAGGCAGCCAUCUGGCCUAAUACUGACGCUGAGGUACGAAAGCAUGGGGAGCAAACAGGAUUAGAUACCCCAGUAGUCCCUGUCUCUUAUAU